rnacentral:lncRNA from 1 species
AAAGCAAUAACAUUAUCAUCAUCAUGAAAUCAUAUAUGAACUGUAUAACAUAAUACUUAUCAAGCCUUUUGUAAUUCAAUCGUUACACAACAUAUUUUUCCUCUUUUACCAGCCCACUAGUAUCCAUGGGGAUCCAUAGGGGUCCCGCUACCCGUUAACCCUUAACACUUGAAAUCAUAUUCCAGGGUCGUCCCCAUACCCCG